rnacentral:rRNA from 1 species
GACGAACGCUGGCGGCGCGCUUAACACAUGCAAGUCGAGCGAGAACCAGGGCUUCGGCUCUGGGGACAGCGGCGAACGGGUGAGUAACACGUGGGUAAUCUGCCCUCGGCACCGGAAUAGCCCGGGGAAACCCGGAUUAAUGCCGGAUGGCCCACCCGCCUCUCGAGGCGGUUGGAAAAGGUAGCUUCGGCCUCCGGCCGAGGAUGAGCCCGCGGCGGAUUAGCUUGUUGGCGGGGUAACGGCCCACCAAGGCGACGAUCCGUAGCUGGUCUGAGAGGACGAUCAGCCACACUGGGACUGAGACACGGCCCAGACUCCGACGGGAGGCAGCAGUGGGGAAUCUUGCGCAAUGGGCGAAAGCCUGACGCAGCGACGCCGCGUGCGGGAAGAAGGCCUUCGGGUUGUAAACCGCUUUCAGGAGGGACGAAGCCACUCGGGUGAACAGCCCAGAGGGUGACGGUACCUUCAGAAGAAGCCCCGGCUAACUCUGUGCCAGCAGCCGCCGUAAGAC